rnacentral:rRNA from 1 species
GAUCAAGUAUGACAAGGGCAUUUGGUGGAUGCCUUGGCGGUAAGAGGCGAUGAAGGACGUGGCACGCUGCGUUAAGCCGCGGGGAGAUGCGAGCGAUCGUUGAUCCGCGGAUUUCCGAAUGGGGCAACCCCAUCCGCAAGGAUGAUCCCAUCCUGAAUACAUAGGGGUGUGGAAGCAAACCCGGGGAACUGAAACAUCUAAGUACCCGGAGGAAAGGACAUCAACAGAGACUCCGUUAGUAGUGGCGAGCGAACGCGGACUAGGCCAGUGAUCACAGCAUAAGAACCGGAACGCUCUGGAAAGGGCGGCCUCAGUGGGUGAUAGCCCCGUACGGGUAGAAAAUGCUGGGAUCCUCGAGUAAGGCGGGACACGUGCAAUCCUGUCUGAACAUGGGGGGACCACCCUCCAAGCCUAAGUACUCCUUACCGACCGAUAGCGAACAAGUACCGUGAGGGAAAGGUGAAAAGCACCCCGAUAAGGGGAGUGAAAUAGACCUGAAACCGGAUGCCUACAAGCAGUGGGAGCGGGACACGCGGUUCGCCGUGUGGAUCCGUGACUGCGUACCUUUUGUAUAAUGGGUCAGCGAGUUAGUUUCAGUGGCGAGCUUAAGCCGUUAGGUGUAGGCGCAGCGAAAGCGAGUCUGAAUAGGGCGAAUAGUCACUGGGAUUAGACCCGAAACCGGUCGAUCUAGCCAUGGGCAGGUUGAAGGUGCGGUAACACGCACUGGAGGACCGAACCCACUUCUGUUGCAAAAGCAGGGGAUGACCUGUGGCUAGGGGUGAAAGGCCAAUCAAGGCCGGUAAUAGCUGGUUCUCCGCGAAAUCUAUUGAGGUAGAGCGUCGAGUGAUUACCCUCGGGGGUAGAGCACUGGAUGGGCUAGGGGGGCGCGAGCCUUACCAAACCUAACCAAACUCCGAAUACCGAGGAGUACAGCUCGGCAGGCAGGCAGUGGGUGCUAAGGUCCAUUGCCGAGAGGGAAAGAGCCCAGAUCGCCAUCUAAGGUCCCCAAGUCCUGGCUAAGUGGGAAAGGAUGUGGGACGGCUUUGACAACCAGGAGGUUGGCUUAGAAGCAGCCAUCCUUUAAAGAAAGCGUAAUAGCUCACUGGUCAAGCUGUCCUGCGCCGAAAAUGUAACGGGUCUCAAGCCAGGCACCGAAGAUGCGAGUGUGCGCAAGCACGCGGUAGCGGAGCGUUCCGUAAGCCUGUGAAGGUGGACCGUUAGGUCUGCUGGAGGUAUCGGAAGUGAGAAUGCUGACAUGAGUAACGACAAACAGGGUGAGAAACCCUGUCGCCGUAAGUCCAAGGGUUCCUGCGCAAGGUUAAUCCGCGCAGGGUAAGCCGGCCCCUAAGGCGAGGCCGAAAGGCGUAGUCGAUGGGAACCUGGUUAAUAUUCCAGGGCCUGCUGGGUGUUGACGGAAGCGUAAGUUUGUUUGCGGUUAUUGGAUUCCGCGGGCGGAUGAUGCUUUCCAGGAAAUAGCCCCAGCGUAUAGACCGUACCCGAAACCGACACUGGUGGACUGGUAGAGUAUACCAAGGCGCUUGAGAGAACGGUGUCGAAGGAACUAGGCAAAUUACCCUCGUAACUUCGGGAAAAGAGGGACCCGCCUAUGCGCAAGCAUUGACGGGUGGCACAGAAUUGGGGGUGGCGACUGUUUACUUAAAACACAGGGCUCUGCGAACACGUAAGUGGACGUAUAGGGUCUGACGCCUGCCCGGUGCUGGAAGGUUAAAAGGAGAGCUGAAAGGCUUGAAUUGAAGCCCCAGUAAACGGCGGCCGUAACUAUAACGGUCCUAAGGUAGCGAAAUUCCUUGUCGGGUAAGUUCCGACCUGCACGAAUGGCGUAACGAUCUCCCCACUGUCUCCGGCACCGGCUCAGUGAAAUUGAAUUCUCCGUGAAGAUGCGGAGUACCCGCGGUUAGACGGAAAGACCCUAUGAACCUUUACUGUAACUUCGCAGUGGUAUUAGGAAAUGGAUGUGUAGGAUAGGCGGGAGCCUAUGAAGCUGGGGCGUCAGCUCUGGUGGAGGCAACGGUGAAAUACCGCCCUUACGUUUUCUGAUAUCUAACUUCGUCCCGUUAUCCGGGAUAAGGACCCUGCGUGGUGGACAGUUUGACUGGGGCGGUCGCCUCCCAAAGAGUAACGGAGGCGCGCGAUGGUGGGCUCAGGCUGGUCGGAAAUCAGCCCUCGAGUGCAAUGGCAUAAGCCCGCCUGACUGCGAGACCGACAGGUCGAGCAGAGACGAAAGUCGGCCAUAGUGAUCCGGUGGUUCCACGUGGAAGGGCCAUCGCUCAACGGAUAAAAGGUACUCUAGGGAUAACAGGCUGAUGAUGACCAAGAGUCCAUAUCGACGUCAUCGUUUGGCACCUCGAUGUCGACUCAUCACAUCCUGGGGCCGGAGCAGGUCCCAAGGGUUCGGCUGUUCGCCGAUUAAAGUGGUACGUGAGUUGGGUUUAGAACGUCGUGAGACAGUUCGGUCCCUAUCUGCCGUGGGUGUAGGAAGCUUGAGAGGAUCUGUCCCUAGUACGAGAGGACCGGGAUGGACGUACCUCUGGUGUACCGGUUGUCGCGCCAGCGGCAUAGCCGGGUAGCUAUGUACGGAAAAGAUAACCGCUGAAUGCAUCUAAGCGGGAAACUUACCUCGAAACAAGGCUUCCCUGAGGAUCGUGAUAGACCAUCACGUUGAUAGGCCGGGUGUGUAAGCGCAGUAAUGCGUUGAGCUUACCGGUCCUAAUCAUCCGAAUGGCUUGAUCUC